GAGCCGGUCUCGCGCAAUGGACGCCCGCUAAUCAUGUCAGGCGGGGAACCGAGCAGCAUCGUGCGGGAUGUUCCAUGUGCCGCGAGGGCGCCGGUUCCGU
rnacentral:SRP_RNA from 1 species